rnacentral:rRNA from 1 species
UAUAAUUUAAAGUAGGGCCUGCCCCUGAAUUUUGAAGGGCCGCAGUAUUUUGACUGUGCAAAGGUAGCAUAAUCAUUAGUUUUUUAAUUGAAAGCUUGUAUGAAUGGUUUGAUGAGAAAAUAGCUUUYUAUAAUUAAUUUUUAGAAAAAAUUUAUUUUUAAGUUAAAAAGCUUAAAUAUUUUUAAUAGACGAGAAGACCCUAUAGAGUUUUAUUAUAAAUAAUUAUUUAUAAAUUUUAGAAUUUUAAAUUUAAUUUUUUUUUAUAAUUUGAUUGGGGUGAUUAAAAAAUUAAUAUAACUUUUUUUUUAUAAUACCAUUAGUUUAUG